rnacentral:rRNA from 1 species
AGUGAACGCUGGCGGUAGGCCUAACACAUGCAAGUCGAACGGCAGCACAGUAAGAGCUUGCUCUUACGGGUGGCGAGUGGCGGACGGGUGAGGAAUACAUCGGAAUCUACUUUUUCGUGGGGGAUAACGUAGGGAAACUUACGCUAAUACCGCAUACGCCCUACGGGUGAAAGCAGGGGAUCUUCGGACCUUGCGCGAUUGAAUGAGCCGAUGUCGGAUUAGCUAGUUGGCGGGGUAAAGGCCCACCAAGGCGACGAUCCGUAGCUGGUCUGAGAGGAUGAUCAGCCACACUGGAACUGAGACACGGUCCAGACUCCUACGGGAGGCAGCAGUGGGGAAUAUUGGACAAUGGGCGCAAGCCUGAUCCAGCCAGACCGCGUGGGUGAAGAAGGCCUUCGGGUUGUAAAGCCCUUUUGUUGGGAAAGAAAGGCAGCAGGUUAAUACCCCGCUGUUCUGACGGUACCCAAAGAAUAAGCACCGGCUAACUUCGUG